rnacentral:tRNA from 1 species
CCACGGGUAGCAUAGCGGCCAAUGCAGCAGGCCUAUAACCUGCGUUAGCUCCGGACUGGGGCGAGAUCGUGGGUUCGAGUCCCACCCCGUGGA